rnacentral:lncRNA from 1 species
GUCGCCACCACCACUGCCACCACCUCGUGCAGUUCACUACACAAACUGAUAUUUUGCUUUUGCUAUUGAUUCAUAUAUAAAAUGGUGGAAGCAAGUGACUAGUCAUUGCUGAAAUCAGCAGCUGCAGCGAAGAUGAAGGGAAGAUGAGGCUGCAGAUGACAAAAAAAGAAGAAAAAAACGAAAUAAAAUAACGAAAAAGAAAAGAAAAGAAAAUAAAGAAGAAAAAAAAAAUAAAUGUAGAAGAAGCAAACAAACAAACAAACAAGCAAAAAGAAAAGGUGGGGGGAGCAAACAGCAACACUUGACAUGCAUCCUGACUUCGAAUCUCCCUGUGAAGUCUGCCUCCUUCUCUCCCUCUUCCUCUUCUUUCCCUGGAAAGAAAUCCUGCAAGCCGCAUGCUUGUUCAUACUUUCUCCGAUCAGCCUGUUGUCUGUGAUGGUUUCUUACCCAUAACAAAACUCUAAUAAUCACAAUAAUAAUAAUAAUAAUAACGAUAACGAUAAUAAUAAUAAUAAUAGUAAUUGGAACUAAGAGUUUGUCCUUUAACGUCUAUUAGAUUUACACGUGUGACGAGUGAGGAGAAAGAAUUAAAGCUACGGCGGCAGCAUCGACAACAACAACAAUAACAGUAGCUACGCCCUCAAAAACAACACUUUUUGCUGGUUGAGUGUGCAACAAAUGUGAAUUAGCAGUCAUUGUAUAAAACAGCAACAAAUGUGAAUUGUUGCCGAUUAAAAGUGAGAGAGAGAGAUUAAAAAAAGAGAGAGGCUGCUGAAGGAAACAAAUACAUACAAACACAUAUAUAUAUAUAUUUACACUUGUUAUAUAUUUAUAUGAUAUAAACACGCACGUAAAAGUCUGUCAUACUUUUGCAAUUAAAGUGCAGCAUGUAAGUUGCUGCAUCUUUAUCUGCAUCAAUUGGAAAAUUUAUUGAAAAUACGAUAAAGUUUAAUUAAAAAUUUCGAGGUAAGACAAUUUCAUUCUUUGGAUUUCAAUGAUUCCUUCUGAUUUUUUUCCCAUAUUUUUGUUAUCCUUCUGAUUUUUUUCCCAUAUUUUUGUUAUCCUUCUGAUCCUCCCUUGGUUUGUUUUUGUUCUAAUUUACAAGUAAUAUUUGCAGCUGAUCCUUCUUAACCCCAAACAUAAACAUUCAUACCAAAACUAUGUCACACACACUCAUAUAUAUAUAUUUAUAUAUAUAAAUAUAUAUAUAUAUAUAAACACACACAUGUUAGCAUUUAUAAAUGCAAGCUUAUGUAUACACAUAUUAACAUAGCGACUCAUAUUCUGAAACACCUCUGCUACACACAAAUGUAUAUACAAUGAUGUAUAUAUAUAUAUAUAUAUAGAUGGACCUUGAUUAUUAUAUGUUUAAUACUCUAGAUUAAUAUUUGCAUUAUGUCUGUAGUUGUCUGUGUUAAUAUGUUUACAAAUUUCUGUACUUAUAAUUGCUUUUCUUACCUGUCUGUAUUAGUUUUAAUGAAUGAAAAUUUUUCAAUGUAUAUCUGCCAAUGAAAUAUAUUAAUACUUAGUUAGAUAUAUUAUAUUGUGUGUGUGUGUGUGUGUGUGUGUGGCUUUUCCUUAACAAUAUGAUGCUGGUUUCUUUAGAUUAGUUAUUAUCUCUUCUGGUGAUAAACAAUACCAGUGACAGAUAUAUAUUCUUGCUGAAAUUAUAUCAGUGUCUCUCUUUUACUAUUUUUUUUUUUUUUUGGUUCCUGCUAAAGUUAUCCAUUCUUGCAAAGGAAUGUUUUAGAGGAGGAGGCGGAGAGGAUUAUCUUCUCCAUUUAUUCUUUUUGUUUUGUUUUUAGAAGUUUAAUUAUUCGCAUUUAAAUUGAAUCCAAAUCUCGCUUCUUAAUAGAUUUCUGUUAAUUUCUGUGUUAUUUUAGUCUCUUGUGUUUUACUUUAAGUAUUUCUGUUUUACUUAGCUUCAAGUCAGAAAAUUUAUUGAACUUAAGAAAAGUAAAAAAGAGAAAAAAAAGAGAAGAAAAUCUCAUUAUAAAAUCUCGAUGAAAUCUCUCUAUUUUAAAGUUUUUUCAAAUUUAAACUAUCUCUCAUUCAUUUCCUCAUUAUUUCUCCCUCUUUUUCCACACUCUUUCUCUCUCAUUCUUUCUUUUCCUUUCUUCCUCUCUUUUCCUCCUUUAAUAUUCUUCAGACAUAAUUUCUAAUAUAUAGAUUGUCUUAUCUAAAUUAAAUGUUUAAUUCACCCUUAUUAAUUGCAACUAUACAAUUAAUCUUUGACAAAUUUUCCAAGAUAAAUAUAAUUAAUAUAUAUAUAUAUAUUCUUUUGUAUUAAAUUGUUUAGAAACUUCAUUUAGGCAAUUGUUGUUGCUGUUAGGGUAGUGAAUUAGCUAAAUUGUUAGAGCAUUGAAAAAAUGCUUUAAAGUAUUUGUUGUGGUCCUUCAUAUUCUGAGUUCAAAUCCCCCUGAAGUCAGUUUUCAGGGUCAGUAAACUACCAGCCACAUACUAGGGUCAAUGGUUUCAAAUACAUUUCUAAACCAUGUACCUAAAUUAGAAAAAUUAUUAAUAUUAUUAUUAUUAUUAUCAUCAUCAUCAUCAUCAUUGUGGUAAGCUGGUAUAAUCAUAAUAGAGUUAUAAAAAAGAUUAGCAGUUGUCUGUCUCUUUACAUUCCAAGUUCAAAUUCUGCUGAAGUCAGUUUUGCCUUUCAUUGAUAAAAUAAAGUACCAGUAAUGUUCUGAGGUUAAUAUAUACAACUAACGCUUCCCCUUAAAAAUUGCUGGCCUUGUGCCAGAAUUCAAAACAAUUUUUAUUGGGUUCAAAUUUCACUAGUUCACCAUUUUUUUUUUUUUUCAUUUUUUCCUUUUACUCAUAAAAUAGAUAAAAUAGAUAGCAGUCAUUCAUCGUGUAUCUACUCAGAAGAAAAUAGAAAAACUAUCCUUAUUUAUCAUUGUUAAAAUGACACAGGCAAAUAGUGUGGUUGGAAAAACUCUCAUAUAUAUAUAUAUAUAUAUAUAUAUAUAUAUAUAUAUAUAUAUAUGUGUGUUUGGUUAAGUGAGCCCAGCAAGCUAUAAUACUCUGCUAUGGCAUCAUUGUCAUCGUUGUCAUUUUUAUUGUGGUUCUUAUGCAAGAGUAACUGAGUGGUAAGUAGUUUGCUUGCCAACCACAUGUUUCCAGGUUCAGUCCCACUGCGUGGCACCUUGGGCAAGUGUCUUCUGCUAUAGCCUCAGGCUGACCAAAGCCUUGUGAGUGGAUUUGGUAGAUGGAAAUUGAAAGAAUCCUGUCAUAUAUAUGUAUAUAUAUAUAUGUAUGUAUGUGUGUGUGUAUAUGUUUGUGCGUCUGUGUUUGUCUCCCCAACAUCGCUUGACAACUGAUGGUGGUGUGUUUACAUCCCUGUAACUUAGCUGUUCGGCAAAAGAGACAAAUAGAAUAAGUACUAGGCUUACAAAGAAUAAGUCCUGGGGUCGAAUUGCUCGACUAAAGGCGGUGCUCCAGCAUGGCCGCAGUCAAAUGACUGAAACAAGUAAAAGAGUAAAAGGGUUUAAGAAGCCUAUGAAACUUUGUCACAUGGAGCCAAAUCAAACUGUUUUAAAGAAUAAUUGUGUGUGUGUAUGUGUGUGUGUGUGUGUUUGUGUGUGUGUGUGUGUGUGUGUUUAUAGUAAAGUAUUAUAAAUGACAACAUUUAGUUUUAGUAAGUAUAUUUGAAUUUUGUUGGUUAUGAAUUUAACUCUCUAACCCUUCCCAGAAUGUUAGUAAAAUACCAGUGAUAUACUGUGGUUAAUUCAUUAGAAUGAAGGGCAGACUAAACAGUUGCUUUCUACAAAAAGUUGGCUUCCUAAUUAGCUGAAAGAAAUAAUAAUUAGUAAAAGAGCAAUAAAGGUGGCUGAGACAGUAGGGUCUUUGGCUAAAUCAAAUACAGUCAGGGCUUUCAGUGCUAUUGGGUCUGAGUUCAAAUUCCAUUUGAGUAGUUGACUUAGUUUAUUGACUGCUAAGCGAGAAAAAAUAACCAAUCACCAGAAAUACCAGCUAUAUAUUGAUUUGAAUUCAGUUGACUCUUUUCCCCACUUUGGAUGACUCACUUCCCACUAUAUCAUAUUAUUACAUGAGAAAGGAUGAACACCACAGCAUCUAUAAUCCUCUCCAUUUUCUCAUCCAGAUGUCAUCUCACAAUUUCUAUGUAUAGCUAUUCACUCUUUAGACAUACUCGGGUUGGUAUUAGUAACUGGAUUUGUUUAGUUUCGUUUUAGUUUCUUUUAUUCUGUAUUUCUUUCUACCUCUAAACUGCACCCUCCUCACCACCACCACCACCACCACCACCACCAAUUCUCCAAAGGUGUGGAAUGAGGGAAUUUGAUGGUUGAGAAUAUGGUGGGUGUAGAAUCACUGAUAAGAAUUCUGAAGGGAAACUUAUAAGAAUUUCUAAGUUUUCCUGAAGACUUUGCUUAUCUCUGUUGAAUGACAUUCAAUAUUGUGUAACUUGCUCAAACAACCAUGAACAGAAUAAACAAACUUUGGUGAUAAGGAGUAAUUUAACCAGCAUAUUAUUAUUAUUAUUAUUAUUAUUAUUAUUAUUAUUAUUAUUAUUCAUUAUUAUUAUUAUUAUUAUUAUUAUUAUUAUUAUUAUUAUUAUUAUUAUUAUUAUUUAUUAUUAUUAUUAUUAUUAUUAUUAUCAUUAUUAUUAUUAUUAUUAUUAUUAUUAUUAUUAUUAUUAUCAUCAUUAUUAUUGUCAUUAUUAUUAUUAUUAUUAUUAUCAUUAUUAUUAUUAUCAUUAUUAUUAUUAUUAUUAUUAUUAUUAUUAUUAUUAUUAUUAUUGUUGCUGUUGUUGGUGUUUGUUUCAGUUUUAGAUGCUAUUUAGUCAAACAUGAUAUAACCCUGCUCUCCACUCAUCUAUUAUAUCUGUCACUUAAUUAGUUAAUUUAGAAUAAGUUUUAUCUCUAAUAUAAAUACUAAAACCUUUACAAUUGAAUGUUUAUAUACAUGUGUGUAUGUAUAUGCACACACACACACACACACACACACACACACACACACUGACGAAAUUUAGGUGUGUCUUUUGUUUAGAUAUAAAUGUUUUGUGUAGCUGACUUUAGCUGAUGCUGUUCAUCUGAAACAAAUCUUGACUUAAAGACACACUGGUUGAUUAAUGUCAAUUGAAUAUGUGCUAUGAUCUUUAGUUAAGAGGAAAUAAUCUGGUUUGCUAACAUGAACUUUAAUAUAUAUAUAUAUAUAUAUAUAUAUGCCACCUCCCAAAACUCUGUGUGCGUGUGUGUCUGUGUGUGUGUGUAUAAAAUAUUUAUUUACAGCACAAUGUGUAUUAAAAACCUGAAAUAAAAUUUAAGUAGUUAAAAGUGCUCUAUUUUAAGACUUGGAUGUGAGAGUUUGAACAGAUGUAAAUACAUCUGGUAAUUCUCUCUCUUUCCAUGUGUGUGUGUGUGUGUGGGGGGGUGUCCAUGUGUCCAUAUCCAGUUUGAUGAUCAGGAACAUAAAAUUCAAAUAACUAGAUGUGAUAGAUGUGAGUUGCCAGCUCCAAUAAUUAUACGCACACAUGAGUGUGUGUAUGCGUGUAUACACACACACACACACACACAUAUACACACACAUAUAUAUGCACAUAUAUACAUAUAUAUAUAUAUGCGCGCAUAGACAUAUAUAUAUGUACAUAUAUGCAUGUAUUUGUUGUGUAUAUAUAUAUAUAUAUAUAUAUAUAUAUAUAUAUAUAUAUAUAUAUACAUAUAUACAUAUAUAUAUAUAUAUAUAUAUAUAUACACACACACACACACACAUAUAUAUAUACAUAUAUAUAUAUGUACAUGUGUUUACAUUCUCCCAUAUGCCUGCGUGUGUGUGCAUACACAGCCAGUCUUUAAUGUUAUUGUUGAGCUGAGAUGCAAAAGCUUUUGAGCCCAUCACAACCUGAUCUGUGUGUGAUGUCUGCUUUAAAACUUUGUCAUCAAUGUCUCCUCAGUCUUUGAUCAGUUCAAACUCCAGACACUCACGACUCUUUCCACAUAGAAAUGUAGGUGAUUCUAACAAUUACCAUAACACCCUUGCCUACGUUGUAACUUCUGCAUGCUGCAGAUCCUAUUAUUUUGCUUUCAAAUCUCUGUUGGAACUGUUUUAUAGGUGUAGUGGUCAUUUUUGGAAUGCUGUUAUUAUCAUCACUACAUUCCACUCCUAAUUGUUAGCAUGCUGGCCAAAAUGCUGCUAAGCAUUUUUUUCUGACUUCAGAUUCUGAGUUCAAACUCCAUUGAAGUCGACUUUACCUUUCAUCCAUUUGGGGGAUCAAUAAAAUAAGUACCAGUUGAGCACUGGGGUCAAUAUAAUCAACUGACCCCACUUCCUGAAAUUGCUGGUCUUGUGCUGAAGUUUGAAACCAAUAUAAAUCUGUUCCUCUUGUGUCAAAAUAAAGCCCUGUUUAUGUUUGUACCAUGUAAACUUUUACUGGUUCCAGUCAGAUUGACCCCCACCCCAGGAAUUAUUUGUUUAGUCUGGCACUUAUUCAAUCCAGCUGUUUUUACCAAACUGCUAAAUUACUGGGAUGAAAACAAACCAACACCAGAUGGUGAGGAACACAAACACACAUCUCUACUCAAAACUCACUUCUACAGUUUCCAUUGGUAGACUUUGGGCUUUUGUUGAAGAUCCUUAGCUAUGUUGCUGUGCAUUAGGACUGAACCCAGAACACAUAGUGAUGAAAUGAAUUUAUUGAUCCUACAGUCAUGUCUGUGCUUGGUGCUCCAGCAUGGCUGCAGUCAAAUGACUGGGACAAUUAAAAGAAUAUAUGUGCUUCAAACCACAUGGUUUCAGGUUCAGUCUCACUGCGCUGAACCUUGGGCAAGUGUCUUAUACUAUAGCCCCAAGCUAACCAAAAGCCUUGAGUGGAUUUGGAAGAUGGAAACUGAAAGAAGCCUGUAAUAUAUAUAUUUAUGGGAGUGAGAGAGAGAAUUGAGAGAGGUGUGUGUGUCUGUGUUUGUCCCCCCACAACUGCUUUGCAACUGGUUACAUUUCCGUAACUUAGCAGUUUGGCAAAAGAGUCCAAUAUAAAAAGUACCAGGCUUAAAAAAUAAAGAUUAAAUACUGGAGUUGAUUUGUUUGACUAAAAUUCUUCAGGCUGAUGACUGAAACAAGUAAAAAAUUAAAAGUUAGAUGUCAGUCUAAGUAAAUAAGAAAAUCUAAUUUUUCUAAAGUUGAUUCUCAGCUGAAAAUAUUAGAUUUCACUAUUUCCAAUUUUUUAAAAAAGUAUUGUUGUGCAUGACUGUAUUAGCCAAUGUGUUUGUUCUUACAACAAUAGUUUUGUUUGAGAGAGAUUUGGCUGCUAUUUGUAGCAGGUCACAUAGGAACCAUCUCAAUGAUGUUUUGAAUUUGGCUCACAUUGUCCACCUGAGUUUAAGAACAAAACCACAAGUAAAUAAAUAAAUAAUGUAAGAUAGAUACUCUAUAAACAUGAACUUUAACAAUAAAAUACAGUUUUGCUUCAGUUCCCCCACUCAUAUUACUGGUAUUCUAUAACCUUAUAGACCAAGUUGUAUAUUUUCAUUCAAGUCUUAU